GCUGGGCACAGUGGUGCAUGCCUGUAAUCCCAGCAGCUCAGGAGGCUGAGGUAGGAGGAUCAUGAGUUCAAAGCCAGCCUUAGCAAAAGUGAGGUGCUAAGCAACUCAGUGAGACCCUGUCUCUA
rnacentral:sRNA from 1 species